rnacentral:lncRNA from 1 species
AUCGUCGACGGCGCCGACGCCGAUCCCUGGUAACCGCCGUCGGUUAUUUGUAAAGGUUGUGAAUUUUGGAGUUGCCGAUGGCCUCCUUAGCCAGGGGUUUGGGCUUUGUAUUUUAAGUUAUUUAAUCUGGGCCCGUUGGGCUCUUGACUUUGUGGGCCGCUGGCUUUAAUUUCUCUUUGUGCAGAUGUGGGUGCAUUUAAUCAGGCUUCUGUGAUGCAAUAGAUGGGCCUGCAUCCAUCUACUACACAGAUACAGAUUGUGAUUUCGGGCCAGCCCAGGGUUUUUUACUCCUGUUAUCUUGGAGCUGUCGGCGGUUAGGGACCGCUGUUUAUAUGUAGUCGGAAUGAAAUUGCGAUAGUCAGAAUUCCAGCCUAUUUGGUGGUCAG